GAGUUUGAUCCUGGCUCAGGGUGAACGCUGGCGGCGUGCUUAAGACAUGCAAGUCGAACGCAGUCGCUCCGCAAGGGGCGGCUGAGUGGCGAAUGGGUGCGUAACACGUAGGUGACCUGCCCGGAAGUGGGGAAUAACAGUCCGAAAGGACUGCUAAUACCGCAUGCGGUGCACGGGUUUAGAAGCCGUGCUCCAAAGGUUUCCGCAAGGAAGCCGCUUUCGGAGGGGCCUGCGGCCCAUCAGCUAGUUGGUAGGGUAACGGCCUACCAAGGCGACGACGGGUAGGGGACCUGAGAGGGUGACCCCCCA
rnacentral:rRNA from 1 species